AUGCACUAUUUGACUUUCUCCACUCAGACGGCGCACAUAAACAAACCCGCGUUACAACUCCACACUUUGCAAAGCACACCAUCAGCACUGACAGACUCACGGGAGCGGACGCAGACACACUCCUUUACACCCGGGAGAUUUUGAUUGUGUAAUGUUCUCUUUCAUUUUUUUCUACUUUUUGGUAAGUUUACUUUAAAUAAGGUAAUAAGAAGAAACUUUUUUUGUCGCCGAUGAAUCCUGAUCUUCUACAAUAUUACGAGAAAGAGAUUUUUUUUUACAUGUAUAUUUUUCUCAACAUCUCUUCGACUCUUGGUGAUUAUUCUGGAUGGAAAUAGGAUACUUCAUGCAAGGUUAUUACCACAUGUAAAGACGGAACCGCUACAGCAAACCAACACAGGUUCGGAAGAGCGCGCCCAGCCGAGGUUGGAGCCGCGGCGAUCGGACACUUCCUGUGCGACGCCCGCCGAGUCCUCCCCGCUCCAGGAACCCUGUCCCGGCCGCAGCCACGCCACCCUUCACCCCCGGACACUCAGCACCAUUCAGCGCGAAGCUUUUCCAUCAGAUCUAUGGCAUUCUGACAAUGAACAAGCGCGCACAGUUAUUGGAACAGCUGCAGUUUGUCCAGUUGAAAUGCACACCUCGAG